CACGGCGGAGGGAGGGUGCGUGCGUGUGGAGCUCUGGUGACACUGACUUGGAUUGAAGGCGUACUCUGAGUCUCACCAUCUUUGCCGUACCUCCGCUGUAUUCCAAAGGCUCUUGUUGAAGUGAUACGCGUUUCCAAAGAUGUGUUUUUCAUGGUUUCAGUGAGAGAUAAACACGAUUUCUUCGCCAAACUUGAAUUCUUGAUGGUUUGAAUUAAGAGUUACAUGUUGAGCCGAAAAAUGAAAAAAAGAGAGAGAGAGAGAGAGAGAAAAGAAAACAAUGAUUACUUUUGUGUGUGUGAUUUGUGCAUGAAACUUGAAAGGAAAGAAAAAUAAUUACCAUCGUGUAUGUGUGUGUGUGUGUGUGUGUAACUUGAAAGAAAAGAAAAGAUAAAAAAGAAGAGAUACACUAAAUACAAUGAUGAAUACAGGAAGAAGCACACAUACUAAUAAAAGUGAAGAGGAACAUAGAUAGGUAACGAUAAUGGAAGUUCUGGUAAAGAUUGAGGAAACAGAGACACAUAGAGAGA